rnacentral:rRNA from 1 species
CUGUCGUUGGACGUCCCUCCAUGGGACGAUGAUCCUUCCGCAGUGUACACUUGUAGAAGCCUUAGCGGGUCCAAAAGACCGGUUCCGCGACUCAAAAUAAGAGAUGACCCCAUCCUCCACAUUGUGGGCGGGUGGCGCUAGUCGGUCCCAUGUCCAUGUUCUAUGUGACGGGGCGCCGGCGACACUAUCGAAUUGCGGGGAUACCCUAAAGGGCGGCCGUACGAACCCCGAGGUGAAAGUCUCGGGCUGCGAUAGUUAACAGCUAUCGGAAACGUAAAAAUCGGUCGCCAUGAUCCCCUGCCCGAGCAGGGGGGAAAUGGGCAAUCCGCAGCCAAGGGCCUAAGGCCGUCUUCAAGGGCGGCUACGGUCAAGGUUCACAGACUAAGUGGUAGUGGGUGUGGUCUAUGUGGCCAUGCUUAAGAUAUAGUCGGGCCAUCAGGGAAACCUGAUGGGUAAGUACACUGCAUGUGGCAAGGGUUAACCCUUCCCUACGUCUUCUGACGUUCUGUAAACCGUUCCGUAGGUGAACCUGCGGAAGGAUCAUUAAAGAGUAAGGGUCAUUCGUGGCCCGACCUCCAACCCUUUGUUGUUAUAACUACCUCGUUGCUUUGGCGGGACCGCUCGGUCUCGAGCUGCCGGUCUUCGGCCCGGCAAGCGCCCGCCAGAGUCUACUCAAACUCUUGUUUUAACCGGUCGUCUGAGUUAAACUUUUAAUUAAAUUAAAACUUUCAACAACGGAUCUCCGCUCCCUGGUAUUCCGGGGAGCAUGCCUGUUCGAGCGUCAUUACACCACUCAAGCACCGCUUGGUAUUAGGCCGUCGUCUUCCGCAAGGUGGGCGUGCCUCAAACACCUCGGCGGAGCCUCACCGGCUUUGGGCGUAGUAGAAUUUCUCAACGUCUUGCAAGCACCGGUUUGACUCCUUUGCCGUUAAAACCCCAAUUUUUUAACAGGUUGACCUCGGAUCAGGUAGGGAUACCCGCUGAACUUAAGCAUAUCAAUAAGCGGAGGAAAAGAAACCAACAGGGAUUGCCCUAGUAACGGCGAGUGAAGCGGCAACAGCUCAAAUUUGAAAUCUGGCACUUGUGUCCGAGUUGUAAUUUGUAGAGGAUGCUUUUAGGCAGCCACCGGUCUAAGUUCCUUGGAACAGGACGUCAUAGAGGGUGAGAAUCCCGUAUGUGACCGGACAGGCACCUUCUGUAAAGCUCCUUCGACGAGUCGAGUUGUUUGGGAAUGCAGCUCUAAAUGGGAGGUAAAUUUCUUCUAAAGCUAAAUACCGGCGAGAGACCGAUAGCGCACAAGUAGAGUGAUCGAAAGAUGAAAAGCACUUUGGAAAGAGAGUUAAAAAGCACGUGAAAUUGUUGAAAGGGAAGCGCUUGCAAUCAGACUUGUCCUCGGGUGUUCCGCCGGUCUUCUGACCGGUCUACUCAUUCGGGGGCAGGCCAGCAUCACUUUCGGCGGCCGGAUAAAGGCAUUGGGAAUGUAGCUCAACCUUCGGGGGGAGUGUUAUAGCCCAGUGUGUAAUACGGCCAGCCGGGAGUGAGGUCCGCGC